rnacentral:rRNA from 1 species
UACAGAGGUCCCAAGCGUUGUUCGGAUUCACUGGGCGUAAAGGGUGCGUAGGCGGUCGGGUAAGUCUGAUGUGAAAUCUCACAGCUUAACUGUGAAACUGCAUUGGAUACUAUCCGGCUCGAGGAAUGGAGGGGAGACUGGAAUACUUGGUGUAGCAGUGAAAUGCGUAGAUAUCAAGUGGAACACCAGUGGCGAAGGCGAGUCUCUGGACAUUUUCCUGACGCUGAGGCACGAAAGCCAGGGGAGCAAACGGG